rnacentral:lncRNA from 1 species
AUGACUGACACUGAUCUACAUUUCAGGAGUUACACAUCAAUCACUUUGGGUGCAGAAGAGUCUGAUUCUUCCAUCCAACCCAGGUUACAGUUCAGAUUACAGCCCCCACAAAAUGAUGGAGAACAGGGCCCGAUCCUGGUCGAUCAUGGUACCCUGAAAUGUUGAGUACCCGUGCAGGGCAUGGAAGAGCCAAAUCUACUUUACUAUAAAGAGGUGAAGUGAAGCAGAGAAAUAAAAACUUGCCUCUUACUGUGCA